ACUUAAUUUCACAAGCAGGGAGACAGAUGGGUAAAGGGCUGUGGAGGACAGAUGUGGCCACCUGACUCCCGCUGAGAGAGGAGCCUGGCUGAGUUUCUCACAAGGGAGAAGCUUAGUUCAAGUUCUAAAGGAUGUGCAGAAGACAAAAGCAGAAAAAAGAAUGAGAGCUGUUCCUGAGAAGGAGGUGGCUGCUGUGCAGGAGGCUGCUUUCAUUCACUCCCAUCAUUCCAGUUACUAUUAUAGCCAUACCCCAGGUCACAUCUCUGACCUCCAGACUCCUAAUCAGGUAUUUUACUUUUUUGUAUGUUUUUGUUGUUUGCUGUACGGGGGAUUGGAUCCAGGGC
rnacentral:lncRNA from 1 species